UAUAGGUGGAGAGGCCCAUAUCU
rnacentral:siRNA from 1 species